UCCCCGCGUCGUUUGAACGUGUCUUGACGACCGGGUGUACGUACGUAGGAACGUUCGCACUCAUACACGCAUACGCGCAGAGACGGAGAGCGACACGCACCCCCCGCCGCCGACGUCGUCGUGUACCGCGGGGGUGAAUGUGCGUCUGGCUGUUCUGUGUAUCGCUGUAUUUUACUUGGGUAACUAUUCACGAUGAGACGCAAUAUCGCUUCGCUGCUUAUUUAGGAUCUCCCGUCCGCCGCUUCUCGUUUACCUUGACAACUAAUUGCGAGAAAUUACGCGAUAAUAUUUAAUUGAUUAAAUUAUCGUUCAUACAUAUCUCGAUGUAUCGUAUAAUUUGGCGUUCCUCUGUACAUUCAUAUGCAUCUGCCCUACUUUAAGAAAGAAACAACGAAUGAUUUAUAGAAAUAAAUAGGAAAGAGAUGACGAUUCAAAUAAAAGGAACAAUUAAUCCGG